rnacentral:lncRNA from 1 species
AUAUAGAUGGAUAAAGAGCCUACCAUCAAUUUAGAUCUAGAAAGUGAUGAUGAUGGUACUAAUGAAUCGACACUUGUAGCUUCAAAUACAGCUACAAUUGGUGAUUCCACUGGUAAACGUAAAAGAAAGUUAACUUCAUCAAUUUAUUAAUUUUUUUAAAUAAAUAAAGUAACAAAAAAAUAUAAAUGCAUCCAGUGUAGCAUAGAAUAUCAUUUUGGUGGUA